AACUGGCGGAUUGGCCACUGAAAUCGGUUCACCCGUGAAGUUCGGCAACAUCGCGCUCACAUGCUAGAAAUGGCCCCAAAAACCUAAAACAUUUUGUAAUUGUGUAGCCUGGUCUGGUCUGCGCUUCUUUUCUACUCGCCGCUUGAAACAAAUCAAAUUCCUAGUACGUUUUCCCUUCAAACAUAUGCGACGAAAUGAAAGAGCACUGAGAGAAAAUAGUAGAUAAAAUAAGGUAUAUAAAAAUAUUAAAAAAAGAGGACUUCUAGGACUAACUCAAAGAGAUUUCUUGAAACUAAAGGUCUAACAGUGGACUUGGGGUCAGGGUCGUCAUGAGGGCUCAAGCCCCAGGGCCCAGGACCUGAGGGCGGGCUCCCUUCCCGGCAAGUGCAAAAUAAUGGCCAAGGAGGAACAACAGCAGCAAAAGAAACUCAUACAUAUUAUAUUUUGUACCUCUCGCUACCCUAACUGCACAACAAAAACAGAAAGCGGAAAAAAAUGAAUAAAUGGCAGGAGGGUGGUGGGGUUUCAUGGGGUGGUGGGAGUGAUGGGGUGACCACCCCAAGAGCCAAACCCCAAGCAACUCGGCAUCACCAUUGUGACAUUUAAGAGGCUCGAGAGAGCAGAAGCACAGGCCGCUAGCUAGAAACAAAACCCACGCACAUACCACACCAUACCAUACUAUACCCACCCGGUAGCCACGCCCCCUUAUAGAGUAGAGACCCCCUGGACCACCCACAAUCCCGGCUAUUCCCGGAGCAACCCUCGGGGGAAGGCCGCCAUUAAAGGUGUGAGGCGGCGGCUUGCAGAGUCGAGUCGAGUUGAGUCCUUUGCUCUGUGUGUGGCCCCUCAGGAGCGCCAUGGGUGAUGCUGUACACAUCUGUAUAUAUAUAACUAUACAUACCUACUAACUAUAUAUACUUAUAGGUGGGUAUUUAUGAGCCACAGCCUGGGAGCAGUGCAUACUUUGCGGUAUUGGCAUUGGUGCUGCUUAAAAUAAUUAAAAAUCAAUAUUUAAACUAUGCAGAGGAGCAGGAUCCGCAGGAGCAGCAAAGGAGAUAAAACUUAUUUAAUCUUUAAACAAAUAUUCAUUUUAAAUGGCUUUUAUUUUAUCAUUUAUUCCAAAAGUCUUACCAAAUAAAAUAAAUAUAAAUGUGAGGCA